AUUGAACGCUGGCGGUAUGCUUAACAUAUGCAAGUCGAACGGCAGCACGGUAUGUAGCAAUACAUAUGGGUGGCAAGUGGCGGACGGGUGAGUAACGCGUAGGAAUCUGACCUCAAGCGGGGGACAACCCGAGGAAACUCGGGCUAAUACCGCAUAAACUCGGAAGAGAAAAGCUGGGGUAACCUGGCACUUGAGGAGGAGCCUGCGUCUGAUUAGCUAGUUGGUAGGGUAAAGGCCGACCAAGGCGAUGAUCAGUAGCUGGUCUGAGAGGAUGAACAGCCGCACGGGAACUGAGACACGGGCCAGACUCCUACGGGAGGCAGCAGUGGGGAAUAUUGGACAAGGGGGGAAACCCUGAUCCAGCAAUACCGCGUGUGUGAAGAAGGCCUUCGGGUUGUAAAGCACUUUAGUUGGGGAGGAAGGUUAGCAGUUUAAGAGAUGGCUAAUUUUACUGUACCCAAAGAAUAAGCACCGGCUAACUCUGUGCCAGCAGCCGCAGUAA
rnacentral:rRNA from 1 species